CCAAUAGCGUAUAUUAAAGUUGUUGCAGUUAAAAAGCUCGUAGUUGAAUUUCGGGAUCAAUUUGUUGGUCGUGCCUUGGUACGUACUUGGCAUUAUUGGUUCCUCCCUUCUGAGAAUCCUUGAUGUCAUUAAUUUGGUGUCUUGGGGAAUCAGGACUGUUACCUUGAAAAAAUUAGAGUGUUUAAAGCAGGCAUACGCUUGAAUACAUUAGCAUGGAAUAAUGAAAUAGGACGUUCGAUUCUAUUUUGUUGGUUUUUAGGAUCGAUGUAAUGAUUAAUAGGGAUAGUUGGGGGCAUUAGUAUUCAAUUGUCAGAGGUGAAAUUCUUGGAUUUAUUGAAGACUAACUACUGCGAAAGCAUUUGCCAAGGAUGUUUUCAUUAAUCAAAAACGAAAGUUAGGGGAUCGAAGACGAUCAGAUACCGUCGUAGUCUUAACCAUAAACUAUGCCGACUAGGGAUCGGAUGAUGUUAAUUUUUUAAUGACUCAUUCAGCGCCUUACG
rnacentral:rRNA from 1 species